AGAGACACCAUGACCAUGGCAACUCUUUUUUUUUUUUUUAAGAUUUAUUUAUUUAAUGUAUAUAUGUGCGCUCUAUUUGCACAUAUGCCUUUACACCAGAAGAAGACAUCAGAUCCCACUAUAGGUGGUUGUGAGCUACUAUGUGGUUGCUGGAAUUGAACUCACAACCUCUGGAAGAGCAGCCAAUGCUCUUAACUGCUUAGCCAUCCCUCCAGCCCUGCUGAAGGAUACUGAAUUCAAGAUCAGCUCAAGGAAGGUUGUAGGGGUUAGGAGCAAAUGCCGAAAAGCUUUAAUUUCAAGAGCACUGGAAGUGAUAACUAUGUGAGUAACUGUAAUGGCUUGAACCCCUCAAGAGUGAAGGCAUAAGAUCUCAGACAAACUCAAGUCAUUUUCCUGGAAAAUGUAAAUGUGAAGAACGACACAAACAAGCCAAAGGGCUCUUCUGCACCAAAGGACACAAAUGUGCGCACUAGCAGAACACAAGUGAUCCUGGACCCAGCCUUGGAUUCUCCACCUCCUCCAAAUCAAGUACCAACCACCACCACCACCUCCACCCACCUUACCCAUCUGGCACUGGUACAUGUUCCGAGGACUCUGGUUAUGAUCAGAGAAGGGGAUGAAGUUGGCGAUCACACUCAGCAGGCUGUGAGGGAAGAGCUCCUGGUGUGUGGAAAUUCCAGAAAAAACCUCAUCCUCAAAAAUGGCAACGUUCAUGAAGAGCUGGAGGAAAACAAGAGUAAGGAAGACAGAGGCAUAAAAUAACUGUGGCUGUCUCGCUGCUUCCCAGGGGUUAGUGCUCAAGGCCACAAAGAGUCCCUCCCCAAUCAUGAAUGCCGGCUACUGAUAUGGGGAGCUGCUGUUGAGACCCAGGGUGUGUGCCUGCUAAGAGCUCCAACACUUUCCCCUUGGAUAUCUCAUCCUCUAUCUACCCUGUCCAAUUGUGAAGAGCCAAAGAGGAAGACAAAUAUUUAUUUUGGACAGGGUUUCUCUGGCUAUCCCAUAACUCACUCUGUAGAUCAGGCUGGCCUCAAACUCAAAGAUCCACCUACCUCUGCCUCCCAAGUGCUGGGAUUAAAAUGCAUCACCACCUCCAGUUUCAUUUUUUUUUUCUUUUUAAUAAAAUUUUUAAAGUAGGCACAAACUCCAGUUUGGCAAUGGCAAAGAUGUGGACGACAACUGUGAUGCCUCAGUCUUCACCAGCUGGGGCAGAGCCAGGUGCCAAGGAACCACGAACACCGGGCAGGAAGGACAGGCAGUUAUGUGAGCACCAAGCCUCCCUCAGGUUCCCAACAGUAUGGCAAGACACUAAAACUACUUAGUCCUGGGCAAUGGGGGUCAGAAAAGUGAGCUGGAUGUUCUGUCAAAUGCUUUUAAAAGUGAAAGCCAAGUCCCUGAAAACUGUUCUACAUAAGCACACACCCCAGCGGGUACCCACCUGUUCCAUAGUUCCAAUGAGCUCUUCUUUGCCCAGCUCCAAGUUCUGCACAGGCCUCACCAGCCGGCAGGGAGUUGUGAAGAGGAACAACCCCGGGUAUAGGCUUGGUUUUCCUGUCAUGGGAACCAGGGCCACCUCCAUCCAGGGAGGAAUUCUCUUUUCUCUCAACACCUGUUUCAACAGAACAGAGUUUAAUGAAGAACAAAUGUAUGUUUUACCCCACCCUCCCUGCCACCAGAGUCAGGUAGAAUGGGAAAGGGAAAGCAUCUAAGAAAUUACAUCAUCCUGGUAAUAAACCCAGAACCCCAAGCCACAGCUGUCCAUCCCAAUCUCACCCAGCCCACAAGGGAAAUGGCAAAAAAGGCAAGUUGAUUCUCCGAUGUCUAAAAUAUGGAUUAAUGAAUUUCUUUUCAAACAAUCACAUGAAAAGUGUCUUACAUUUGAAAAUUAAAAAACAAAACAGAA